rnacentral:misc_RNA from 1 species
GAUGAAGAACGCAGCGAAAUGCGAUAAGUAAUGUGAAUUGCAGAAUUCAGUGAAUCAUCGAAUCUUUGAACGCACAUUGCGCCCGCCAGUAUUCUGGCGGGCAUUCCUGUCUGAGCGUCAUUUCAACCCUCAUGCCCCUAGGGCGUGGUGUUGGGGAUCGGCCAAAGCCCGCGAGGGACGGCCGGCCCCUAAAUCUAGUGGCGGACCCGUCGUGGCCUCCUCUGCGAAGUAGUGAUAUUCCGCAUCGGAGAGCGAUGAGCCCCUGCCGUUAAACCCCCAACUUUCCAAGGUUGACCUCAGAUCAGGUAGGAAUACCCGCUGAACUUAAGCAUAUCAAUAAGCGGAGGA